rnacentral:rRNA from 1 species
UACGUAGGGGGCGAGCGCUGUCCGGAAUCAUUGGGCGUAAAGAGCGUGUAGGCGGUCCGGUAAGUCGGCUGUGAAAGUCCAGGGCUCAACCCUCGAAUGCCGGUGGAUACUGUCGGGCUAGAGUGCGGAAGAGGCGAGUGGAAUUCCUGGUGUAGCGGUGAAAUGCGCAGAUAUCAGGAGGAACACCGAUUGCGAAGGCAGCUCGCUGGGACGUUACUGACGCUGAGACGCGAAAGCGUGGGGAGCAAACAGG